rnacentral:rRNA from 1 species
GACGAACGCUGGCGGCGUGCUUAACACAUGCAAGUCGAACGGAAAGGCCCUGCUUUUGUGGGUUGCUCGAGUGGCGAACGGGUGAGUAACACGUGAGUAACCUGCCCUUGACUUUGGGAUAACUUCAGGAAACUGGGGCUAAUACCGGCUAGAUGCUCCUGCUGCAUGGUGGGGGUUGGAAAGUUUCGGCGGUUGGGGAUGGACUCGCGGCUUAUUAGCUUGUUGGUGGGGUAGUGGCUUACCAAGGCUUUGACGGGUAGCCGGCAUUGGAGGGUGACCGGCGACAAUGGGACUGAGAGACGGCCCAGACGCCUACGGUAGGCAGCAGUGGGGAGUAUUGCACAAUGGGCGGAAGCCAGAGGCAGCAACGCUGGGUGCGUGAUGACGGCCUUCGGGGUAUAAACCGCUUUCGCCUGUGACGAAGCGGGAGUGACGGUAAUGGGUAAAGAAGCACCGGCUAACUACGUG